UGGAAGUAAAAGUCGUAACAAGGUCUCCGUUGGUGAACCAGCGGAGGGAUCAUUACCGAGUUUACAACUCCCAAACCCAAUGUGAACGUUACCAAACUGUUGCCUCGGCGGGAUCUCUGCCCCGGGUGCGUCGCAGCCCCGGACCAAGGCGCCCGCCGGAGGACCAACCUAAAACUCUUUUUGUAUACCCCCUCGCGGGUUUUUUUAUAAUCUGAGCCUUCUCGGCGCCUCUCGUAGGCGUUUCGAAAAUGAAUCAAAACUUUCAACAACGGAUCUCUUGGUUCUGGCAUCGAUGAAGAACGCAGCGAAAUGCGAUAAGUAAUGUGAAUUGCAGAAUUCAGUGAAUCAUCGAAUCUUUGAACGCACAUUGCGCCCGCCAGUAUUCUGGCGGGCAUGCCUGUCCGAGCGUCAUUUCAACCCUCGAACCCCUCCGGGGGGUCGGCGUUGGGGAUCGGCCCUGCCUCUUGGCGGCGGCCGUCUCCGAAAUACAGUGGCGGUCUCGCCGCAGCCUCUCCUGCGCAGUAGUUUGCACACUCGCAUCGGGAGCGCGGCGCGUCCACAGCCGUUAAACACCCAACUUCUGAAAUGUUGACCUCGGAUCAGGUAGGAAUACCCGCUGAACUUAAGCAUAUCAAUAAGCGGAGG
rnacentral:rRNA from 1 species